rnacentral:rRNA from 1 species
CCUACGGGAGGCAGCAGUGGGGAAUCUUGCACAAUGGGGGCAACCCUGAUGCAGCGACGCCGCGUGAGCGAUGAAGCCCUUCGGGGUGUAAAGCUCUUUCGUCAGGGAAGAUAAUGACGGUACCUGGAGAAGCAGCUGCGGCUAACUACGUGCCAGCAGCCGCGGUAAUACGAAGGGUGCAAGCGUUACUCGGAAUUACUGGGCGUAAAGCGUGCGUAGGCGGUUUGUUAAGUCUGUCGUGAAAGCCCCGGGCUCAACCUGGGAAUGGCGAUGGAAACUGGCGAGCUAGAGUACGGUAGAGGAGAGUGGAAUUCCCGGUGUAGCAGUGAAAUGCGUAGAGAUCGGGAGGAACAUCAGUUGCGAAGGCGGCUCUCUGGACCAGUACUGACGCUGAGGCACGAAAGCGUGGGGAGCAAACAGGAUUAGAUACCCUGGUAGUCCACGCCCUAAACGAUGCGAACUGGACGUUGGGAGCAAUUAGGCUCUCAGUGUCGAAGCUAACGCGUUAAGUUCGCCGCCUGGGGAGUACGGUCGCAAGACUGAAACUCAAAGGAAUUGACGGA